AGAACGAACGCUGGCGGCAGGCCUAACACAUGCAAGUCGAGCGCUGUAGCAAUACAGAGCGGCGCACGGGAGAGUAAUACGUGGGAACCUACCCUUUGGUUCGGAAUAACGUCGGGAAACUGACGCUAAUACCGAAUAAGCCCUUCGGGGGAAAGAUUUAUUGCCGAAGGAUGGGCCCAUGUUGGAUUAGCUAGUUGGUGAGGUAAAGGCUCACCAAGGCUACGAUCCAUAGCUGGUCUGAGAGGAUGAUCAGCCUCACUGGGACUGAGACACGGCCCAGACUCCUACGGGAGGCAGCAGUGGGGAAUAUUGGACAAUGGGGGCAACCCUGAUCCAGCCAUGCCGCGUGAGUGAUGAAGGCCUUCGGGUUGUAAAGCUCGUUUUGGCGGGGUACGAUGAUGACGGUACCGCAGAAUAAGCCCCGGCUAACUUCGCGCCAGCAGCCGC
rnacentral:rRNA from 1 species